GAAUUGAAGAGUUUGAUCAUGGCUCAGAUUGAACGCUGGCGGCAGGCUUAACACAUGCAAGUCGAACGGUAGCAGGAAGAAAGCUUGCUUUCUUUGCUGACGAGUGGCGGACGGGUGAGUAAUGCUUGGGAAUCUGGCUUAUGGAGGGGGAUAACUGUGGGAAACUGCAGCUAAUACCGCGUAUUCUCUGAGGAGGAAAGGGUGGGACCUUAGGGCCACCUGCCAUAAGAUGAGCCCAAGUGGGAUUAGGUAGUUGGUGGGGUAAAGGCCUACCAAGCCUGCGAUCUCUAGCUGGUCUGAGAGGAUGACCAGCCACACUGGAACUGAGACACGGUCCAGACUCCUACGGGAGGCAGCAGUGGGGAAUAUUGCGCAAUGGGGGGAACCCUGACGCAGCCAUGCCGCGUGAAUGAAGAAGGCCUUCGGGUUGUAAAGUUCUUUCGGUAAUGAGGAAGGGAUGUUGUUAAAUAGAUAGCAUCAUUGACGUUAAUUACAGAAGAAGCACCGGCUAACUCCGUGCCAGCAGCCGCGGUAAUACGGAGGGUGCGAGCGUUAAUCGGAAUAACUGGGCGUAAAGGGCACGCAGGCGGACUUUUAAGUGAGAUGUGAAAUCCCCGAGCUUAACUUGGGAACUGCAUUUCAGACUGGGAGUCUAGAGUACUUUAGGGAGGGGUAGAAUUCCACGUGUAGCGGUGAAAUGCGUAGAGAUGUGGAGGAAUACCGAAGGCGAAGGCAGCCCCUUGGGAAUGUACUGACGCUCAUGUGCGAAAGCGUGGGGAGCAAACAGGAUUAGAUACCCUGGUAGUCCACGCUGUAAACGCUGUCGAUUUGGGGAUUGGGCUAUAUGCUUGGUGCCCGAAGCUAACGUGAUAAAUCGACCGCCUGGGGAGUACGGCCGCAAGGUUAAAACUCAAAUGAAUUGACGGGGGCCCGCACAAGCGGUGGAGCAUGUGGUUUAAUUCGAUGCAACGCGAAGAACCUUACCUACUCUUGACAUCCUAAGAAGAGCUCAGAGAUGAGCUUGUGCCUUCGGGAACUUAGAGACAGGUGCUGCAUGGCUGUCGUCAGCUCGUGUUGUGAAAUGUUGGGUUAAGUCCCGCAACGAGCGCAACCCUUAUCCUUUGUUGCCAGCGA
rnacentral:rRNA from 1 species